CUGUAACUCUGUUCCCUCAUCUGCCAAGUGGGGUUAAUAAUAGUACCAGCCGCAUCGCACUGUGAGUGUUGUAUACGGAGCCUAGGAUCUGCCAUGCGAGGUUUUGCCAUUGCUCUUAUCUUUUAACAACAGGUUUUCCUUUCUCAUUUGACAAUACAAUAUGCACUUUUUUUUUAGGUCAACAGGUGUAUAUCUUAACACACAUAUCUCAUUCCAUCCUUGCAAUAACUCCCCGGCAGCCGGUAGGUAUUAUCAUCCUGUUUUACCCCUUAAAAAAAUUAAAGGGUUCAGAGAAGUUAAUUUGCCCGAGGCCACAUGGCCAGAGGGUAUUAUCAGAUGAUGAGGGGAAACAGAAUAAAUUUUUGAAAAUUAACACACUCUGAACUGUUGGGGGUACUUUUCAAGCAAGGGUGGAAUCCGGUUCAUGCUCUUCCCUCCUCCCCAGAUGCCCAGUUGGGGUGCCUCUCCCCCCAUUUCAGAAUCUCUCCUGGACCACUCCUCUCUGCAGCUUUCAUGGGCUGAAUGGAUAAAGCUCCACCACACUCUGGCAGUCUCCAUCCUGCCCAGCUCCUCCCUUACUUACAUUUUGGGUCAUUUUGAUCAUUUUUAAUGACAAAAAUAGAGGUGGAUCAAAGAGCAGGGACACUCGAGGCUCCAGUGAUAAAACCUUGGCUUCGACGAGAGGGUCCUGCAAGGAGGCACACGCUGGCUCCGGCUAUCCACGUGGACCUGGGGCCCGAGGGCCACCCCGGCUGACGUGGCGGGGCCCCCGAAGCUCCUCUUCCUGCUCUCCCCACCCUCACCGCCGCCGCAGGAAAGCAGCCCCCAGCCCCAGCGAGGUCCUCCCUGGGAACCAUCUUGUAGGUGAAAAUAAAGCAGCACUUUCAUCCAAGGAGCUCAGCACAAUCACUGAAAGCACAUGAAAUCACUUAGACCUGGGAGCCCGCAGCCCCCUUGGCUUAAUUACACGGCGGGCCGGGCUCUGCUGAAAGCAAUUAGAUCUGAGAUCCCCGGCGGAGGCACGCGCACACUGCCCCGCUCUCCACGAGCCGGCUGUCGUCCACACCCGCCCGCCCUCUCUCAGACGCCUUCUAAGGAUGGAGGCCUUGUGAAUUAGCUGUUUGUUCAGGUGGUUGAAGGCUCCCAGGGCCCGAAGGACAGAGCAUGAAGUUUCCUUCCCUCCUGUCCUUCCUCCAAGCCGCCAAGCUCCCCGCACGUGACCAGGGCCGGCCAUCCCUUUGGUGUCCUUCCGAAACCAGCGACGCCAUAAAUCCAUCCGUUUGAACAUAGCCUUUCUUCCAGAAGGCAAUCGCUUUUCCAACAGCGGGACUAUGAGCGUCCUAUGUCAUCUGCUGGUGUAAACAGCCAACCACUUCCCCCUGGACAAACAAGUUUGCUGCCGGCAGGAGAGCUCCCUGUUGAAAAUCAAAUAAAGCGCUUGAUUCCAGAUGAGAGCAUUUGGUUCCAGGUACCGCUCACUCGGUGAGCCGGGGCCGUCGCGCCCGGAGCUGGCUAAUGAGCAGGCGUGCGAUCCCCACCUCCCAGAUCACAACCCUGAAAGGCCCUUUUGUGGCGGGGAGGGGCCAGACCCCAGCCACAAUGCUCUCUUGUCAGAAGGGCCUCCUGGAGCUGCCAUGAGAGGGGGGCAGCUCUGCAAAGCAAAGCAGAGGGAAGGCAGUGAUUUUGUGGUGGUUUCUGAGGCCUGGUGGACUCAGUGGAGGCACUCAUGUUUCCAGGCCUGGCUGGAUGGCGGGCUCGUUGUGCAAGCGCGCCAGGCUGGGAUGCAGGGCAUGGAGAUGUCACCCUCCCUGAGAUAUGCCAGCCCCAAGAUGGAGGUGGGGGCACCAGGUGGUGCUGUGCCCGCCACUUUUCGCCGACAGAGAAACAGGGCUUCCCUGGGGGACAUGGCAGCCAGGAUGAAAUUCAGAUCUGCGGUUCCAGCAUUUGACAGACACAAAUUCUCGAAACAUUCCAGAGAAGAGACAGAGGGGAUUAAGCCCUGCUCUGGACAAGGAGAUGCGUCCUCAAGGGAGAGAGGAAGUUUGGGUUUGUCCAAAGAGGAGCUUGGAGUUGGGGCUGAGGCUCCCAGAUGUGUGCCCUGCCCUCAGCUGUCACCUCCCCAGCCUGACAAAGGGACAGACAGUGACAUUCUAGGAUGGCACACAGUAUAGGCACAGGAGGAUGGAUUCUGGAGCCAGAGGGUCAGGGUUUGAACCCUGAUUCCCCAUGUAUUAGCCACGUGACCCUGAGGAGGUGACUUAGCCUUUUGGGGCCUCAGUUUCCUUGUCCUUAAAUGGGUGUAAUUAUAGUAUCCGCGGAGAAGACAAUGGCACCCCACUCCAGUACUCUUGUCUGGCAAAUCCCAUGGACAGAGGAGCCUAGUAGGCUGCAGUCCAUGGGGUCACUAAGAGUUGGACAGGACUGAGCGACUUCACUUCCACUUUUCACUUUCAUGCACUGGAGAAGGAAAUGGCAACCCACUCCAGUGUUCUUGCCUGGAGAAUCCCAGGGACGGGGGAGCCUGGUGGGCUGCCGUCUCUGGGGUCGCAC
ensembl:lncRNA